ensembl:lncRNA
UUUAAAUAAUAUAUAAAGAUUUGUGCUAAUAAUUGAUUUUAAUGUUAUCAUUAUGCUGUUCUAUGAGAAUAUUACGUACACCAUUGUAGUGGAAUUCCAGGGUCACAGCCUGAACAAAUGGGUGGGCUAUGUGAGUGUGUGAGUGCGGCGGCGCGGCGGUACGAACGGGGGAGAGACACAUUCCUCAGCUCGGCUCUCUCUGCACGCUGCUACUGGGAGGGCAUCUGUUUUAUUCCCCUUGAGGUUUUAAGUUCACAGGAUGGCCAGCAGGAGCAACAUCACUCAAACACGCUUAUGAGGAAACAUUAUGAGGAAACUGUGACGCACUGCUGAACUUUUGGGAACUGGAGAGCAUGAAUCAGAAGCGCUACUGGUCCUUGAAAAAGAUACGCCUUGAGAAAGAACAUCAAGUACUGGCCCAAUAGAACCGUGAAGGGGACUGCCACUGAUUGCCUUUAUUGUCUUGACAUCCUAUAUUGCGGCGGGUGUUGUGUAUGCGUCGCGAUGUGCAUUGUGUCUUGGGCCACCAGGUUGCAGGGGCUCACCCCCUACCUGCUCAGUCAUUGGUUCAUGCUGUGAAGGAGUGGAGUGUAGUGGAAUUCCAGGGUCACAGCCUGAACCAAUGGGUGGGCUAUGUGAGUGUGUGAGUGCGGCGGCGCGGCGGUACGAACGGGGGAAGGACACGUUCCUCAGCUCGGCUCUCUCUGCGCGCUGCUACCGGGAGGGGGAUAUCUUCAAAAGCCACUUAGACAAUGUCCUGGGCAAUCUGCUGUAGGCAUCCCUGUUUGAGCAGCCGAGUCGGAUCAGAUGGCCUCUAGAGGACCCUUCCAACCUCAACCAUUCUGUGAUUCUGUGAUUUUUUUCUUUCCCUGGAUUAAGUGUUUCAGAUUGUCAGUAUGUUGAGAGCACCAGCUUUGUUCUGAGCCUCUUGAAAAUACUGUUUGUGAUCCAUUCUGUUAUAUUCCUAUUUUUCAUUUAAUUCAAAACCGUGAUCUUCCUAGGCUGUGUACUCAGAUUAAUAAACAAUUGAAUAUUGA